rnacentral:sRNA from 1 species
AUGGCUGCCGCUGCCCUUACAAGCCUGUCCACCAGCCCUCUCCUUCUGGGGGCCCCAGUUGCAGCCUUCAGCCCAGAGCCUGGCCUGGAGCCCUGGAAGGAGGCCCUGGUGCGGCCACCAGGCAGCUACAGCAGCAGCAGCAACAGUGGAGACUGGGGCUGGGACCUGGCCAGUGACCAGUCCUCUCCGUCCACCCCGUCACCCCCACUGCCCCCCGAGGCAGCCCACUUUCUGUUCGGGGAGCCCACCCUGAGAAAAAGGAAGGUGAGCUUGGGGGCGGCCCCCAGGGAGGGGUGGGUGUGGUGGCUGAGCCUGACCCUGGCCCCUGUUGCUGCAGAGCCCGGCCCAGGUCAUGUUCCAGUGUCUGUGGAAGAACUGCGGGAAGGUGCUGAGCACGGCGUCGGCGAUGCAGAGACACAUCCGCCUGGUGCACCUGGAGGCAGGCAGAGCCUGAGCAGAGUGACGGUGAGGAGGACUUCUACUACACAGAGCUGGAUGUUGGUGUGGACACGCUGACCGACGGGCUGUCCAGCCUGACUCCAGUGUCCCCCACGGCCUCCAUGCCGCCUGCCUUCCCCCGCCUGGAGCUGCCAGAGCUGCUGGAGCCCCCAGCCCUGCCUAGUCCCCUGCGGCCG